AGGUUAGCGAGAAGGAGUUUAGGUUUCUAACCUCUAACUCAAGCGGUUAAAUUCCGUUUCUAUCCUU
rnacentral:tRNA from 1 species